UACGUAGGGUCCGAGCGUUGUCCGGAAUUACUGGGCGUAAAGAGCUCGUAGGUGGUUUGUCGCGUUGUCCGUGAAAACUCACAGCUUAACUGUGGGCGUGCGGGCGAUACGGGCAGACUGGAGUACUGCAGGGGAGACUGGAAUUCCUGGUGUAGCGGUGAAAUGCGCAGAUAUCGGGAGGAACACCGGUGGCGAAGGCGGUUCUCUGGGCCUUACCUGACGCUGAGGAGCGAAAGCGUGGGGAGCGAACAGG
rnacentral:rRNA from 1 species